AGAGUUUGAUCCUGGCUCAGAACGAACGCUGGCGGCGUGGAUUAGGCAUGCAAGUCGAACGAGAAUCUGAUGGUUCAAGUUUUCGGACAAGAACUAUUGGAGGACAGUGGCGGAAGGGUGAGUACAACAUGGGUAAUCUAUCUUCAAGUUGGGUAUAACUUUCCGAAAGGGGAGAUAAUGCCGAAUGUGGUGAUCCGACGCCUGUCGGAGAUUCUAAAGGUGGGGACCGUAAGGCCUGCCGCUUGAAGCCGAGCCCGUGCACUAUCAGCUAGUUGGUAGGGUAAUGGCCUACCAAGGCAAUGACGGUUAGCUGGUCUGAGAGGAUGGUCAGCCACACUGGGACUGAGAUACUGCCCAGACUCCUACUGGAGGCUGCAGUCGAGAAUCAUUCGCAAUGGGCGAAAGCCUGACGGUGCGACGUCGCGUGGAGGAUGAAGGUCUUCGGAUUGUAAACUCCUGUCAUGAGGGAUAAAUGGCCAGGGCAAUAAUACUGCCUUGGAAUGAUAGUACCUCAGGAGGAAGAGACGGCUAACUCUGUGCCAGCAGCCGCGGUAAUACAGAGGUCUCAAGCGUUGUUCGGAUUUACUGGGCGUAAAGGGAGCGUAGGCGGUUUGGUAUGUCGAAUGUGAAAGCCCACAACUCAACUGUGGAAAUGCAUUCGAAACUGCCGGACUAGAGUACUGGAGAGGAGAGCGGAAUUCUUGGUGUAGCGGUGAAAUGCGUAGAUAUCAAGAGGAACACCGGUGGCGAAGGCGGCUCUCUGGACAGAUACUGACGCUGAGGCUCUAAAGUUAGGGGAGCAAACAGGAAUAGAUACCCUGGUAGUCCUAACCAUAAACGGUGUACACUUGGUGUGCGAGGAAUUGUCCCUUUGCCCGCCGGAGCUAACGCGUU
rnacentral:rRNA from 1 species